CCUCCUGGGAGAGCCGCUUUUGGGGUUCUCCCUCUUUGGGGGGCCUCUUCCUGUGUUGCUGCUUGAGUGACAGACGUGGGUUCGAGUCCCGGCCCAGGAUGCCACCCUGAAGCUCUGCCUCAUCCGCAGCAUCUGCCUGAUCAGCCAGGCCGUCUGCCACAGCGCCCAGUCGGGGGACUUCGUCUUCUCCCGCAAGGCCGAGGUGGUCGCCCAGAUGCUGGAGUUCAUCAAGGCUGAGCCCCCCGACGCCCUCCGGACGGCCAUCCGCCAGAGAGCCAUGACUGCCUGCAUGUACCUGGU